ACGUAAUAGAUACCCCGGUAGUCCACGCCCUAAACGAUGUCUACUAGUUGUUGGUGGAGUAAAAUCCAUGAGUAAACGCAGCUAAACGCGUGAAGUAGACCGCCUGGGGAGUACGGUCGCAAGAUUAAAACUCAAAUGAAUUGACGGGGGCCCGCACAAGCGGUGGAUUAUGUGGAUUAAAUUCGAUGCAACGCGAAAAACCUUACCUGGCCUUGACAUGUAACGAACUUUCCAGAGAUGGAUUGGUGCUCGAAAGAGAACGUUAACACAGGUGCUGCAUGGCUGUCGUCAGCUCGUGUCGUGAGAUGUUGGGUUAAGUCCCGCAACGAGCGCAACCCUUGCCAUUAAUUGCCAUCAUUUAGUUGGGCACUUUAAUGGGACUGCCGGUGACAAACCGGAGGAAGGUGGGGAUGACGUCAAGUCCUCAUGGCCCUUAUGGCCAGGGCUUCACACGUAAUACAAUGGUCGGUACAGAGAGUUGCCAACCCGCGAGGGGUAGCCAAUCUCAGAAAGCCGAUCGUAGUCCGGAUUGUAGUCUGCAACUC
rnacentral:rRNA from 1 species